AUACGGAGGGGGCUAGCGUUGUUCGGAUUUAUUGGGUUUAAAGGGUGCGUAGGCGGAUAAUUAAGUCAGUGGUGAAAGACUGCAGCUCAACUGUAGAGGUGCCAUUGAUACUGAUUAUCUUGAGUACAGUUGAGGUAGGCGGAAUUUAUGGUGUAGCGGUGAAAUGCAUAGAUACCAUAAAGAACACCGAUAGCGAAGGCAGCUUACUGGACUGUAACUGACGCUGAGGCACGAAAGCGUGGGGAGCGAACGGGAUUAGAAACCCUAGUAGUCC
rnacentral:rRNA from 1 species